GACCUUAUAGCUCAGGUGGUAAAGCAUGAGACUUUUAAUCUCAAGGUCAUGGGUUCAAGCCCCACUUUGGGUGA